rnacentral:rRNA from 1 species
CCACGGUGGCUGCAGUGGGGAAUAUUGGACAAUGGGCGAAAGCCUGAUCCAGCCAUGCCGCGUGUGUGAAGAAGGCCUUCGGGUUGUAAAGCACUUUCAGUGGGGAAGAAAGCCUUGGGGCUAAUACCCUCGAGGAAGGACAUCACCCACAGAAGAAGCACCGGCUAACUCCGUGCCAGCAGCCGCGGUAAUACGGAGGGUGCGAGCGUUAAUCGGAAUUACUGGGCGUAAAGCGCGCGUAGGCGGUCUGAUAAGCCGGUUGUGAAAGCCCCGGACUCAACCUGGGAACGGCAUCCGGAACUGUCAGGCUAGAGUGCAGGAGAGGAAGGUAGAAUUCCCGGUGUAGCGGUGAAAUGCGUAGAGACUCGGGUGGAAUACCAGUGGCGAAGGCGGCCUUCUGGACUGACACUGACGCUGAGGUGCGAAAGCGUGGGUAGCAAACAGGAUUAGAUACCCGAGUAGUC